UCACAUGCUCACAUCUACAAAUAUGUAACCUGACUAGGUCUCACCAAUCUGCCACUGACAUCACGACAGACAUGCUGGAAGAUACUUUAUGUGGAUGACAUCUCUCGGCUAAACUGGAAAUCUGACCAUGUCAGUGGAUGGGGUCAAAACGUUGGGCCGAAAAAAAGAAAGUAGGAGACAGGCAGCAAGGAGACCGGCUCUUAUUAUGCAAGACUCCCAAUGCUUCAAACCACGGAUGCUUCAGGCACUUUUCCUGAGUGCCGUUUCUUUGAAACCUUCUACUGAGAUAUACAAUUCCACAGAAUCUUGAGCUUGUCCACAUGGUCACGGAGGACACUGGCCCACUUCUGCAGUGACUCCAUAAUGGUCCAUGGCCGUGACAUAUCCGCA